GUCUACUGCCGUACCACCCUGAACGUACCUGAUCUCAUCUGAUCUCAGAAGCUAAGGAGGAUCGAGCCUGCUUAUUGCUUGGAUGGGACACCAUCUACGAAUACUAGGUGCUGUAGGCA
rnacentral:rRNA from 1 species